GGAAGUCGCAGAAGAGGUUCGUGGGGCCCUGGGCGAUGGGCCUGCGGCGGCUCCCCCCCCCCCGCGGUGGUGGUAGCUCCUCCUGCCUGGAGGAUGGCCCCACUGCAAGCCUCACUAUUGUGCUGAAAACUGGAAGGCUCCCAGCACAAAGAAGUGGAGCACGACUGGCACUAGGACCCAGGAAGUGGUGUUCAGCUAUAGAGUCAGUGGAGCUGAGACACGCAUCCUCCUUCAGCUGGGCAGCUCUGCGCUUGCAGAAAUGGGGGGCAGUGGCAGGUAACCCCGUGCUCCCUUCCAUGCCUCACCUCUCUUAGGAGGGGGGAGAUCCCCCCCAAGAAAACUGCAUCCAUGGUAGUCCACCCCUCCCGGGGCGCGGCUUACCUUUGCUUCCCUGCCAUUAAACGCAGGAAUUGUUCAGGGGGUACCGUUUUCUGCAGGCGCACAGUCAUGCAGAAUCCCUCAAUGAGUAACUUGAGCUCGUUAAAACCUCUCUCUAUUUGAUUAAAUAAACUUGUUUUACUUGUAUUCUAAAUCAA